GACGAACGCUGGCGGCGUGCUUAACACAUGCAAGUCGAACGAUGAAGCUGGAGCUUGCCCCGGUGGAUUAGUGGCGAACGGGUGAGUAACACGUGAGCAAUCUGCCCUUGACUCUGGGAUAACUGCGGGAAACUGUAGCUAAUACCGGAUACUUUCACUGGAAGGCAUCUUCUGGUGAAGAAAGAAUUUCGGUCAAGGAUGAGCUCGCGGCCUAUCAGCUUGUUGGGGGGGUAACGGCUCACCAAGGCGACGACGGGUAGCCGGCCUGAGAGGGUGACCGGCCACACGGGGACUGAGACACGGCCCAGACGCCUACGGGAGGCAGCAGUGGGGAAUAUUGCACAAUGGGCGCAAGCCUGAUGCAGCAACGCCGCGUGAGGGAUGAAGGCCUUCGGGUUGUAAACCUCUUUUAGCAGGGAAGAAGCGAAAGUGACGGUACCUGCAGAAAAAGCACCGGCUAACUACGUGCCAGCCGCCGCGGCAA
rnacentral:rRNA from 1 species